AACUGCAGAUGGGUCGAAAGCUGUCCUGGGUAGCAACUUCUAUCAAAAGAAAUGAAAUGCAAUGGCAUGCUCUCUUCACAGUUCACAUCUGUGCUGCAGAGCCGAGAAGGAUCAGAUGACAGAGACAAGUAGCCAGCACAAAUGAAUCCUCUGAAGGAAUUGUUAGUGGGGCAGCUGUUCGGAAUCUGCUGUUUCCAAUGACCAACACACUCGAGUCUCGACGUCUCUUGGCCCUGGGUUUGACUUUAUGUUGGUGUAAAAGUGUAUGCUAAGUUCUGGAAGUCUCAGAUGUUGGCCCCAAGGCCAACUAUGGAAAGAAUACUCUAUUUUCUCCUCAGUUUUCCCAUCUGGCUCCUAAUGCUUACGACGGCUGGUACCUGUCCUUCCAACACAAAGCUGUUGGUCCUUCCUUUCCUCACUGAGGAAAAACAAAAAUCACAGAGGCAAGUUCAAAACCCAUGUUGAGGAACAACAAGCUUUUGUUUGUUUGUUUGUUUGUUUGUUUGUUUCAGCUCCCUUGAGCCUUUCCUUGUUGGUGUGUGUAGUCUGGCCACUACUGAGUUUGGAGUGUCCUGAGUUGUGUUCUGUGACCCCCAUAACCCAAAAUACUUCCCCACUAGCCUGAUACAUGCCUGACCCUCAUUUAGGUAAAGACAUUGGAUCAUCUACAAGGGCCACAUUACCCAGAAAGCCUUGCAAUGUCAGCAAUUCAACCUCUGAGGAGAAGUGAGCAGGUAUAGGCUGGUGCACAUGCCUCCAGAAGACCACGUGGCAGAGGACAUAUGAGAAAGACAAGGCUGUGGCUAUAAACUUUGGUGAGGUGAAAUAUCUUCAGGAGCUGCUACUGUUAACUCUGAAAAGCUAACCUGGGUGAAGUGGCUUGUCCCACAUCAAAUCACCAAGUCAUCUUCAUAUAUGCAUAUUAAGUAAAUCCUUUUUUACGGA